UUCUAUAAAAAUAACUAAGGGAAAAUUGUUUUCUAGACCAAAAAAAUGAUAAUUAUGUCUCAUUAGACUAAUCUCAUAUAUUUUAUGUCUUAUUAGACUAAUUAUAUUUAAAAUGACAAUAAUGCCCUUAAAAUUUUAAUUUUAAAUUCUUAACUACAAUUAAUAAAUAAUUAUAAUAUAUUUAGAAAUAUUUAAUAUUAUAAUAAAAUAUAUUAUUAUAAUUAAAAUAACUAAUACCAUAAAAAAAAAUCACAAUCUAAACCUAAUCCCCCAUACAUCGUUGUCUCUGCCUCUUUCUCCCUUCUCUAGUCACACAAUAUCUUCAAGGCCUGCUUGAAAUCACUUAUCGCUAAAGAUGAUGUAGACAUCAACGCUCUCGCUAAGUACACACAGGUAUUCAGUGGUGCUGAUAUCACCGAGAUUUGCCAGAGGGCUUGCAAAUACGCCAUCAGAGAAAACAUCGAGAAGGACAUUGAAAAGGAGAAAAUAUGGAUGAAGUAUCAGAGAUAACAGCUGCACACUUUGAGGAGUCGAUGAAGUAUGCACACAGAAGUGUGAGUGAUGCAUACAUCAGGAAGUACCAAGCCUUUGCUCAGACGCUGCAGCAGUCUAGAGGGUUUGUUUCCGAGUUCAGGUUCGAGACUUAUAUUGGUUCAGGUGCAACCACUGGAGUCGCUGAUUCUUUUUCCAUGUCUGCAGCUUCUGCUGCGGACGAUGAUGAUCUCUACAAAUAAGUGAUCAAGUUUAUCAUACUUUGUUAUUUAAGUUUUCAGUUGGAUUCUCUCUGCUACUUCUAAAUACCUUGUGUUUCUUUAAGUUAUCAGAAUUAUGCUGGUGCUUUCAAUCAAUGUUCUCAGUUGACUCCUCUUGUUCAUUCGUACUGACUACUAAGGGAAAUCUACAAACUUGAGAUCUA